UCAGAAAAUAGUUUAUUGUUAGAAUUCUGGCUUUGGGUGCCGGGGGUAGGAGUUAAAGUCUCUUUUUUCUGGC
rnacentral:tRNA from 1 species